AUUGAACGCUGGCGGCAGGCCUAACACAUGCAAGUCGAACGAGUGGCGGACGGGUGAGUAAUGUCUGGGACACUGCCUGAUGGCGGGGGAUAACUACUGGAAACGGUAGCUAAUACCGCAUACCUUCCGAUGUUCCCAGAUGGGAUUAGCUAGUUGGUGGGGUAACGGCUCACCAAGGCGACGAUCCCUAGCUGGUCUGAGAGGAUGACAAGCCACACUGGAACGGAGACACGGUCCAGACUCCUACGGGAGGCAGCAGUGGGGAAUAUUGCGCAAUGGGCGAAAGCCUGAUGCAGCAAUGCCGCGUGUAUGAAGAAGGCCUUCGGGUUGUAAAGUACUUUCAGCGGGGAGGCGUUACCCGAAGAAGAAGCACCGGCUAACUCCGUGCCAGCAGCCGCGGUAAUAC
rnacentral:rRNA from 1 species